GCAGGGGGCAGGGGCGGCUGCUCCGUGGGGAGGGCACAGGGAUGGAGGCGGCGGGGGAAGCCGGGUGCAUCGGUUGCCCCCUGUCCUAGGAAGUUCUGGGGAGGGGCUGAGGCUGCGGGGCGCCCGCCUGGGGCCGUGACAGGGGCGUUGAGCGGGCCCCAGCCGGGACCCUCUGACACCCGCUGCUGGUCCGGACGGAACCGAUGGGGAAGGCGGAAAGAAGCGAGAGGGCGGCGAAGCGGGCCCCGCUGCAGGCGGCUGCGGUGGGGAAGGAGCGUUACCUGCACCCGCGGGCCCCCAGGAGUACGGACGGUGCGGCUGGAAACACGAGCUCGCCUGGAAGGCAGCUGCGAAAACGGUUCACGUUUUAGGACAACGCAGAAGGAAAAGUUCUUCUGAAGUGGUCACCCGGCUUGGAGCUGGGAGAGAUCUGAGAGCUGUGCUGCCACAGAAACUAACCCUGGCUAGCAGGGACGUUUGCAUGUUCAUGAAGGAAACUCUGCCGGAAAGGAAUACAUAAAAGGAUGCCAAACUCUUUGUCCUGUGAACAGUGAUACAGACAAAGUGCCAGCUACUCAGCAGUGACUCUGCAAUUGAAGGGCUAUGAAUACAUGACUUUCAGGUCCUGGAAGGAAGCCCUUCUGUAUGAUUACAGUUCUGAUCUCACAUCGCAUGUAACUUGACUCUCAGAGCAUUUUGGUUUUUUUAUAUCACGGAAAACUAGGAUCCGUAAAUAUUGCUCUUCAGUUAGCCAAGGGAGUCACUAAAGAGUAAGAAGGAGUUCUUCAGACCUCUUAAAAAACAGAAUUGAAUGCUUUGGAUCUAGUGUUCCCAAAUCUUGCUGGUCAGUGAGGACUCACCUAGACUCUUAAGGCCAAAUUGAAGGUGAGUCUUCUUCUGACCCUUUCAUUGUUUUUGUGUGGCUCCCUUGGCUUACUUAGCUCUCUUAGGGUAUGUCUACACUACAAAAUUAGGUCGAUUUUAUAGAAGUCAAUUUU